UUAGAUCAGAAGCGAGAAUGUUGACAUGAGUAGCGACAAAGAGGGUGAGAGACCCUCUCGCCAAAAGUCCAAGGGUUCCUGCUUAAAGCUAAUCUGAGCAGGGUGAGCCGGCCCCUAAGGCGAGGCCGAAAGGCGUAGUCGAUGGGAACUAGGUUAAUAUUCCUAGGCCAGUGGGAAGUGACGGAUCUCGAAGGUUGUCUGCCCUUAUCGGAUUGGGUGGGCCGCUUAGAGGUUCCUGGAAAUAGCCCCACAUCAGACCGUACCCUAAACCGACACAGGUGGACUGGUAGAGUAUACCAAGGCGCUUGAGAGAACCACGUUAAAGGAACUCGGCAAAAUGCCUCCGUAAGUUCGCGAGAAGGAGGCCCCAUCAGUAGGCAACUAUUGGUGGGGGGCACAAACUAGGGGGUGGCGACUGUUUACUUAAAACACAGGGCUGUGCGAAGCCGUAAGGCGACGUAUUCAGUCUGACGCCUGCCCGGUGCUGGAAGAUUAAGAGGAGGGGUGCAAGCUCUGAAUUGAAGUCCCAGUAAACGGCGGCCGUAACUAUAACGGUCCUAAGGUAGCGAAAUUCCUUGUCGGGUAAGUUCCGACCUGCACGAAUGGCGUAACGAUCUCCCCGCUGUCUCUAACGUGGACUCAGCGAAAUUGAACUGUGUGUCAAGAUGCACACUUCCCGCGGUUAGACGGAAAGACCCCAUGCACCUUUACUCUAGCUUUGCACUGGCAUCAGGAUUGUGAUGUGCAGGAUAGGUGGUAGGCAUUGAAGCGGGGACGCCAGUCUUCGUGGAGCCUCCCUUGAGAUACCACCCUUCGCACUCUUGAUGUCUAACCGCGGCCCGUUAUCCGGGUCCGGGACCCUGCAUGGUGGGGAGUUUGACUGGGGCGGUCGCCUCCUAAACAGUAACGGAGGCGCGCGAUGGUUGGCUCAGACCGGUCGGAAAUCGGUCGUUGAGUGCAAUGGCAGAAGCCAGCCUGACUGCAAGUCUGACAAGACGAGCAGAGACGAAAGUCGGUCAUAGUGAUCCGGUGGUCCCAAGUGGGAGGGCCAUCGCUCAACGGAUAAAAGGUACGCUGGGGAUAACAGGCAUGAUGCCCAAGAGUCCAUAUCGACGGCAUCGUUUGGCACCUCGAUGUCGGCUCAUCUCAUCCUGGGGCUGGAGCAGGUCCCAAGGGUAUGGCUGUUCGCCAUUUAAAGAGGUACGUGAGCUGGGUUUAGAACGUCGUGAGACAGUUCGGUCCCUAUCUGCCGUGGGUGUAGGGGACUUGAGAAGAGUUGCCCCUAGUACGAGAGGACCGGGGUGGACGAACCACUGGUGGACCAGUUAUCGUGCCAACGGUAGUGCUGGGUAGCUAUGUUCGGACAGGAUAAACGCUGAAGGCAUCUAAGCGUGAAGCCCCCUUCAAAACAAGGUCUCCCUUGAGAGCCGUGGAAGACCACCACGUCGAUAGGCCGGAGGUGUAAGUGCAGCAAUGCAUUCAGCUGACCGGUACUAAUUGCUC
rnacentral:rRNA from 1 species